ensembl:lncRNA
AAGAGCCUCUCUUCCUGACAGCCACACACUGCAGUGGGGGAGGGUUAAAAACACCAAGCCCUCUUCCUGAUUCUGCAGCAAUGGGCAUAAUGUGAUGGAUCCUUUCCUUCCAACUAUGUGAUUCCCAUUUGGCAAUAUAGGUCUUACCCUGACACCUUUACUCUGAAGAAAACACACUGAGCAGAGAGCUGUCUGAAAGAACAUCAAGUUAUACAACUCAGACUCUGCAGGCUCUAAAAGACAAUGUGUUCCGACACAUGGAGAAAGAGAAAGAGGGCCGCGGAGCUGGGACAGAAGAAGCCGAGAGGAGUCCAGCUACUACCAGGGAGACGAAGAACCAACCGCACCGAGGCCCCGGGCCUUGUGUGUCCUCGAAACAGCGUUAGUGAAGGGAUACCGAGCCUCAACUCUCCGCCUUUUGACAGAGACUCGGGAAUAACUUUUUGACAGCUCCUCUUCUUCAGCCCCCCCCCCUCCCCUCGACAGCCCUUCACUUUUCUCUUUUUCCUCACUUCCAGCAGAUACGAAUCAAAAUACUGUCACAGAAUAUGGCGGCUGCAAAAGUAAGCUACUAUCGCGAGAAGAAGAGUUGCUUUUCUUUUUUUCAGUUUCCCAAAGUUGCGCUGAGGGAGGAGAGAGUUGAGAUUGUAAAAUGAGCUGAGCAGCCUGCUGCUGCAUGAGGUGCAAGCAAAGGAAAAACUAAACAAGGCCCAGAUUGUUUUUAGAUUUCUGGGAUGAAAACUGCACAAGAGAAGUGGGAUAGUUAAAGAAUAAAGUCUUCAAAGUCUUAUUUUAUGUUACCUUUCCUCAUAGAGAGGUUGAAGCCCUGGAUCAAUGAAUGAUCACCUUGGUACAUUUCUUACAGCUGGUAAUGCUAAGUGUAGUUUUUUUUACACCACUAUUACAAACAAAUCCUGCUGCUGCUGAGUGUAGACAACUAUGCAGGAAUUAACAAGAAUAUGUGUGUCCCUAAAUACCUGUAAGCAAUAUUGUGUCCAGAGACAGCCUGACAGACACAUGUUAGAUCUCUUUUCUCUUUGUUUUUUGUUUUGUUUCACAGCAUCACAGAGCAGCUAGGGUACUUCAAGUCUUAUCAAUGUAAAUCACUUAUUGACAAUUCCCAAUAUUGACUACAGUUUUGGUGUUGGGUAUCAACACCCAAAGGAAGCACCACUUUUCAUGGUUGAGUGUAAAAAGCAAAGCUGUCACACAUUAGUGCUCUGUCCAGAGAUAAUUUAACAAACCUUUGUAGAGCUUCUGUCUCUGCUGUUCCUUCACUGUAAAAUGCUCCUGGAGGACAUGGGUCGAUAUGCAUGAGCCUAUUGUUUGCGGACUUUAAAGUUCAGUCUGUUGUGUUCUCUCAAAAUGAGUGUCACCCUACUGAUGAAUGAAUUCAUGGGGUUUGAAAUGGCUCAUUGAUCUGGAGUCUUUGUCUUUUAUUAACAGUGUUUGUCGAGAGCAAGCAAGACAACAGGGCUUGUCAACAAGACAAAGACUAACAUUAACAAAGUGUGCAUGAUGCAUGUCAUUGUCUCUAUUAAACUUUUUAUACAAAGUGUUAUCAAACCAAUCCAACGUUGCAGAUAAGACUUGGACCUGCAGUACUUUACAGUGCAGAGGCCUGUAGACCAAGUCUAAAAGGGUGAGUGGCAAAAUGUGUCAGUGAAGAGCAAUCCCCAUGUGUUCCCUCACUGGACAAUCAUAAACACACUUUGUUCCACCACUUAGGCAGAGGAAGGGCUGUCAGGGAGCAACUGAGAGUGCACCAGAGUAUGUUUUCAUCAUUAUGUUCAUUGUUAGUCUUUGUAUUCAGUUUGUAUUUUUAGUCAGGCUCGAUCUGAACUGAAAGAUGGACAAAAAGUAAUUUUGUUUUUGAUCUGUACAAUAGAAAAGUGACCUGAUAUGAAAUUUGGUACAUCUAAACUAAGAUGGUGAUGGUAAACAUUAUACCCGC